UAUCAUGUUAUUACUCUUGUAAUGUCAUAUCCUUUUAUGCAGAAACAAAUUCUCCUUCAUGUAAGUUUAUGUGGGCUUUAUCUAUGUACGAAAUUAAAAUAUUACAAUAAAUACGAAAUUACGUUAUUACAAUAAACACGAAAUUAAGAUAUUGCAAUAAAAUUAACAAAAUAAAACGGCAUCAUUCUUUUGUUUACAAAAAAUAGGAAAGGACAUCGGAUGGCGAUUUUUAAAAUAUUACAUGUCUAAUAACUUCGUUAUUUUUUGGGUUGCGACGGAAGUACAUAAAAGAUAAGUCUACGAUCUAUUUGCUCCAUCGUCUGCAUAUAUUAUUCUCUAUAUGAAAGAUGGCUGUACGAAACUGGAUCCUUACCCCUUCACAUUGCGCAGUGUCCGGGUGCAGAAAAAAUGCAAGUGAAAGGGUAUCAAAUAAGUUGCCAUAGAAUUCCAAAACAAGAACGUGUGAGGAGACAGAGGAUACGCUUUUGCGAACGAACAGAUAGAUGAAAUCCAAACACAUCUUAUAUAUGCAGUCGGCCUUCUGAACCAACUCCCUUCCGAAGAAACCUGAAGUACGAGUAACUUAAUUAACAUCCCUGUUCCUGCUCCCAAAAGACAUUUAAACCAGGAGCAGCACCGGCACUCUCCUCCGGCCCCAGAUGCGCCGUGCAUCCCAACUGCAAGGGCAGAGCAGAAUGUGACCUCUGAUGCAUGUGUACCAACACAUACGAGGACUUCUUGUAUGCAGAAUUUGUGUGUGCAACGACACCCCACGUCUCAACUGCAAGGGCCGAGCAGAAUGUGACCUCUGAAGCAUGGCUACCAACACACAACAGCAUUUUUGAUGACAAAGAGCACCCAGAGGUUACAGUAGAGGAGAUGUAACACUUGAAGAGGAAGGCAUCAUCCCGAGAAAAGGGAAAUUUCAGAUACUUGUGACUGUCAAGCACACAACCACACCUUUAAGCAUUGACGACCUGCUUGUGGUUGUUUGUAUGUAUGUACGAGGUGUGAGAAGCGCGAGAAGGUGACGAGGAGGUUGAAAGGAAAUGGCCCUGAACAGCUGAAUUGGUGGCGUUGUGAGAGGUCACAGUAGCAAUAACACCGUAUUUCCGUUCAUCUAUAAACUGACUACCCCUAAAGGCGGUGAAUGUAUGCCAGACACACGAAUUGGUACCCUGCAACAUCACAACAGUGGCUGGGACGUUGCAGCCAACGGUCGCUUAGAACAUUGGAUAAGAGCGAAUAAGAAAAGUGAAGAAUUGAAAUGAACCGAACUAGUGAUAUGACUGUAAAGUACAAAAAAGGAAAACCUGUAAAUGCGAUGUUAACUGUAUUUUUUUUAUCUUAUAUGAAUGGUUUUAACUACAUAUGCCGAUCUGAAAAUAAAAUGGUUAAAGGUUUA